rnacentral:rRNA from 1 species
GAUGAACGCUGGCGGCAUGCUCAACAAAUGCAAGCCAGCCGGGUCGAGCUGUUUCCAGUGCCGGACGGGCGCGUAACGCGUCCGAACCAGCCCUGCGGAGGGGCACACCAGCUGGAAACGGCCGCUACCACUCCGUAGCGUGAGGGGCAACUGGCCGACUCCGCCCGAGGCGGGGCUCGCGUCUGAUUAGCUAGUUGGUGAGGCAAUAGCUUACCAAGGCGACGGUCAGAAGCUGGUCUGAGAGGAUGAUCAGCCACACUGGGACUGAGACACGGCCCAGACUCCAUCGGGAGACAGCAGUGGGGAAUUUGCCGCAAUGCGGGAAAGCCUGACGUAGCCAUGCGGCGUGGAGGAAGAUGGCCUGCGGGUGUUAGACUUCCCUGCCCAGUGAAGAAGCAAUGACGGUACCUUGGGAAUAAGCAUGGGCUAAGGCUGAG